GACGUAGGGCGCGAGCGUUGUCCGGAUUUAUUGGGCGUAAAGGGCUCGUAGGCGGCCAACUAAGUCAGACGUGAAAUCCCUCGGCUUAACCGGGGAACUGCGUCUGAUACUGGAUGGCUGGAGUUUGGGAGAGGGAUGCGGAAUUCCAGGUGUAGCGGUGAAAUGCGUAGAUAUCUGGAGGAACACCGGUGGCGAAGGCGGCAUCCUGGACCAACACUGACGCUGAUGAGCGAAAGCCAGGGGAGCAAACGGG
rnacentral:rRNA from 1 species